CGAACUUCGUCGUGUGCCGAUAACUCCAUUCAAAAAUCAUUUCUUUAAACCUGUUGUUACUGGCUAUUUGCGUGUCGAUGUUUGGUUUAAGUACACAUUCAUAUAAAUGAAUUCUUAUGUGCACCAUUUUAUUUGAUGAGGAACAUUUGCACUUAUCGGUAACAUCUUUUUGGUCCUGUAGAAACCACUGGUAACGUUGUCGUACCAUCCUGUACCAUUGUUUCACACUGUCAUUUAAAGUGUUCCUUCAUUGGUGUAGAUCAAAUGAAGUAACAGCUAUUUUUUCGAGAGAGAUCUGAACGUAAUGGUGGCUUCUUCAUUAGUGUGAAAAUAAUUUGGCCCUAUAGAUACAAUUGAAAAAGUCGUCGAAUAUCCCUGUACCAUUGUGCCACACUGUCAUUGGAAUAUUUCAUGCAUUGAUUAAGAUUAAAUGCAGUAACAGUAUUUGUGGAUGCAUUUUAGAAAUAUCUGAUUUUCUCAGAAGCUUUUUUUGUGUGUGACAUAAUGGCUAGUUGGAAUGAGAAACUUAUUAAAGCUGCCCGUGAAGGAAGUUUAACAGAUUUGAAACUAUCCUUUGAAAAGGGAGCUGAUUUGGAAUGUAGAGAUGAAGAUAGAGAUACACCAUUAUCAAAUGCUGCCUACUUUGGACACCUGGAGAUCGUCACAUUCCUUGUUUCAGUAGACUGUGAUAGAGAAACAAGAAAUAAGGAAGGAGUUACACCACUGUCGCAUGCUGCCUACUCUGGCCACCUGGAGAUCGUCCAAUAUUUAGUCACGGUCGGCUGUGAUAAAGAGACAAAAGAA